rnacentral:rRNA from 1 species
CCAAUAGCGUAUAUUAAAGUUGUUGCAGUUAAAAAGCUCGUAGUUGAAUUUCGGGGUCAGUAGGUUGGUCAUGCCACUGGUAUGUACUGGUCUCACUGAUUCCUCCUUCCUGAUGAGCCGUAAUGCCAUUAAUUUGGUGUUGCGGGGAAUCUGGACUGUUACUUUGAAAAAAUUAGAGUGUUUAAAGCAGGCUAACGCUUGAAUACAUUAGCAUGGAAUAAUGAAAUAGGACGUUCGAUCUUAUUUUGUUGGUUUCUAGGAUUGACGUAAUGAUUAAUAGGGAUAGUUGGGGGCAUUAGUAUUCAAUUGUCAGAGGUGAAAUUCUUGGAUUUAUUGAAGACUAACUACUGCGAAAGCAUUUGCCAAGGAUGUUUUCAUUAAUCAAGAACGAAAGUUAGGGGAUCGAAGACGAUCAGAUACCGUCGUAGUCUUAACCAUAAACUAUGCCGACUAGGGAUCGGAUGAUGUUAAUUUUUUAAUGACUCAUUCGGCGCCUUACG